rnacentral:rRNA from 1 species
AGAGUUUGAUCCUGGCUCAGAUUGAACGCUGGCGGCAUGCCUUACACAUGCAAGUCGAACGGCAGCACGGGAGCAAUCCUGGUGGCGAGUGGCGAACGGGUGAGUAAUGUAUCGGAACGUACCUUUCAGUGGGGGAUAACGUAGCGAAAGUUACGCUAAUACCGCAUAUUCUGUGAGCAGGAAAGCAGGGGAUCGCAAGACCUUGCGCUGAUUGAGCGGCCGAUAUCAGAUUAGCUAGUUGGUGAGGUAAAGGCUCACCAAGGCGACGAUCUGUAGCGGGUCUGAGAGGAUGAUCCGCCACACUGGAACUGAGACACGGUCCAGACUCCUACGGGAGGCAGCAGUGGGGAAUUUUGGACAAUGGGGGCAACCCUGAUCCAGCCAUGCCGCGUGAGUGAAGAAGGCCUUCGG